AGAGUUUGAUCCUGGCUCAGAACGAACGCUGGCGGCGUGCUUAACACAUGCAAGUCGAACGCGAAAGGGGCUUCGGUCCUGAGUAGAGUGGCGCACGGGUGAGUAACGCGUAGAUAACCUGUCCUGGUGUCUGGAAUAAUAUCUCGAAAGGGGUGCUAAUACCGGAUAUUCUUGCUUUCUAUAAGGUAUGCAAGGAAAGGUGGCCUCUGGAACAAGCUACUGCACGAGGAGGGGUCUGCGUACCAUUAGCUAGUAGGUGGGGUAAUGGCCUACCUAGGCGACGAUGGUUAGCGGGUCUGAGAGGAUGAUCCGCCACACUGGUACUGGAACACGGACCAGACUCCUACGGGAGGCAGCAGUGAGGAAUAUUGCGCAAUGGGGGCAACCCUGACGCAGCGACGCCGCGUGAGUGAGGAAGGCCUUCGGGUCGUAAAGCUCUGUCAAAGGGGAAGAAGUGCAUGGUGGUUAAUAUCUGUCAUGUUUGACGGUACCCUUAAAGGAAGCACCGGCUAACUCCGUGCCAGCAGCCGCGGUAAUACGGAGGGUGCAAGCGUUGUUCGGAAUCACUGGGCGUAAAGGGCGCGCAGGCGGUUUGAAUAGUCAGAUGUGAAAGCCCACGGCUUAACCGUGGAAGUGCAUUUGAAACUGUCAGACUUGAGUACCAGAGGGGAAAGUGGAAUUCCCGGUGUAGAGGUGAAAUUCGUAGAUAUCGGGAGGAAUACCGGUGGCGAAGGCGACUUUCUGGCUGGAUACUGACGCUGAGGCGCGAAAGCGUGGGGAGCAAACAGGAUUAGAUACCCUGGUAGUCCACGCUGUAAACGAUGUGCACUAGAUGUAGGGGGUGUUGAUCCCCUCUGUGUCGCAGCUAACGCAUUAAGUGCACCGCCUGGGAGUACGGUCGCAGAUUAAAACUCAAAGGAAUUGACGG
rnacentral:rRNA from 1 species